UUAGUCUGUUUAGCCUAUAAAUAGGAGGGGAGAGUGAGUUAUUUCUCUCCUAAUGUUGCUGAAAACAGAAACGAAUAGAGAAAUAGAAGAAGGAGAGGAUGAAAGAGAAAGAAGAAGGAAAGGAAGGAGAAAGAAGAAGAAGAAGGAGAAGAGAAAGUGCAGCCUUCUUUUCUGCUACUGCAUGCUGCUACGGCUGCUGUUCCUGCUGCUAUUGAUGCAUGCAAGCAUCUUGUACUCUCCACAACAAGUAAAAUCUGCGUUGGUCUUGAUCCAGCUGAAGAUUUGAGUGAAGGACUACUGAUCAGUUGCAUGCAUGUAUCAAGAAGCACAAAAGGUAUUGAAGUUGAAGCAGAAAUGAUUAGGUGACUUGUUGGAGAUGAAGAUAUGGAUAGGGAGUGACUAGAGAUAGGAACUUUUGAUACAUUGUGUACUAUAAUGUAAAUUAAGUGCAAGUUGUAUUAUUUAUUUUGUUUUAACUUGUGGAUGGAAUAAAUUGGCCUGUAAUAUUAUAAUAGCA